rnacentral:rRNA from 1 species
CACGGGGGCUUCGGCCUUAGUGGCGGACGGGUGAGUAACGCGUAGGAACGUGUCCUGGGAUGGGGGAUAACGCUGGGAAACUGGCGCUAAUACCGCAUGUCUGCUGAGGCAGAAAGCCUUUGGGUGUCUUGGGAGCGGCCUGCGUCCGAUUAGCUAGUUGGUGGGGUAAAGGCUUACCAAGGCGACGAUCGGUAGCUGGUCUGAGAGGACGAUCAGCCACACUGGGACUGAGACACGGCCCAGACUCCUACGGGAGGCAGCAGUGGGGAAUAUUGGACAAUGGGCGGAAGCCUGAUCCAGCAAUUCCGCGUGGGUGAAGAAGGUCUUCGGAUUGUAAAGCCCUUUCGGCGGGGACGAUGAUGACGGUACCCGCAGAAGAAGCCCCGGCUAACUUCGUGCCAGCAGCCGCGGUAAUACGAAGGGGGCUAGCGUUGCUCGGAAUUACUGGGCGUAAAGGGCGCGUAGGCGGCGCAGUUAGUCAGGCGUGAAAUUCCUGGGCUUAACCUGGGGACUGCGCUUGAUACGGCUGUGCUAGAGGGUGGAAGAGGCUCGCGGAAUUCCCAGUGUAGAGGUGAAAUUCGUAGAUAUUG